AUCGUCACUGAACAGACAUCGUGCCGUGGUUUCGUGUAAAUAUAAUCGUGUAUGUCUGACUUUCCGUUACAGGUGUAGCAAAAAAUAGAGUUCGAUACACGCGCGAAAGUUGGCAAUGCCUAUCUCGCGUGAAUGCGCCACACUCGCCCUUCAACUCGUCUACGGGUUCGUGCUGCGCCUUCACGCUUGUGCGGGCAUUGCCACCUUCGCGCACUAGUAUCGAAAAACAUUAUUUCCCACAUGUUUAUUUGGACCGACUUACGGUUACCGAACGUAAAAAAAUCGAUUAAAGGAUUACGAAACAAAAACAACUGAAGACCGAAAGUAGAAACAACAUACGUAAGAUUGAAUUAUUAAAAAAGGCAGUAAAUUGAAAGUGUAGGAAGAAAUGCUUAACGCAUCAAGCUAUCCCGCAGUCGACGAACAAAGAGGCUGCGAGGGUCGCGGAGAGAAGCUUGAAGCCUCGGCUGAAACUUCCCCACCGUCAGAGUGGCCCCCAGAGAUUUGGCAAUGCCGUUCGUUAGCCUCACGGACGGUUGCGCUGUUGCCAAGUCGCCGAAGUAGAGGAGGGGCCAUGGCUACGGGAAGGCACUCGCAUCUAUUAUGUAUAACAGACCCUAGCGUGGGCGCCAUCGUUAUUAGAAAUCCAUCUGACGCCUCCGCACUAAACGGGACAUGAGGGGUCAGGUAAAUCGACACUUAUGUCUACACCUACACGUUACAUGUAUACUUAAUAAAGCCUUUCUGCUGUAGAAUGAAAAGAACCGGAAAAGCAGGCUCGCAUAACCUCGGCAGUAUAUUCAAUGUUCUCUAAUGAUUUUUUUUUACGCGAUAUAAUUUCAUAAAAAUAUGGAUUGUUCAACGACUCGUUUUUAGCGAGGUAUCCGCACACCUCUACGCAUACGUGCGUAAUAAUGCCUACUAAUAAAAGUCAGAAUACACCGAAGGCCAGUGUCGUCUCACGGAAGAAACGAUGCGAACAUAUAAAGUAGUUGUUUCAGUGACGUCUAUUGUAUGUAUAACACAGCUAGAUAAAAUAUUUCGACCUACACAUAUACCAGGUUGUUGAAACUAACAAUUUGAAAAUGUUCUUGACACAAUCAACACUAUGCAGGUUUAUAACAGUAAUAUAUAAGCAAGGCCUCAAGUGAGAAGGAGAAAUAAACAGUAAUGAGACAUUAA
rnacentral:lncRNA from 1 species